rnacentral:tRNA from 1 species
AGUGGUGUGGAGUAGCUUAUGGAAGCUCGCCGGCGCUGCAUAGAAUAUUGAGGGGAGCAGCCCGGAGGCGCUGGUUCGAGGCCAGCCACCACUA